rnacentral:rRNA from 1 species
UACGUAGGGGGCUAGCGUUGUCCGGAAUCAUUGGGCGUAAAGCGCGUGUAGGCGGUCCGGUAAGUCCGCUGUGAAAGUCGGGGGCUCAACCCUCGGAUGCCGGUGGAUACUGUCGGGCUUGAGUACGGAAGAGGCGAGUGGAAUCCCUGGUGUAGCGGUGAAAUGCGCAGAUAUCAGGAGUAACACCAAUUGCGAAGGCAGCUCGCUGGGACGUUACUGACGCUGAGACGCGAAAGCGUGGGGAGCAAACAGG